AUGUCCUGGACGCCAUAUGGUGGAAUGAGGGCUUGGAAUGCCUUGAGGAGGAGGCAGUCGACGAGAUUCAAAUUUGACUUUUCCCCCACAUUUGUUGGUGUUGGAAUGAUUUGUCCACAUGUGGUAAAUUUUGCAUUACUCUUUGGAGGAAUCAUAUCUUGGGGAUUGCUAUACCCUUUUCUUGAAUCAAAACAUGGGCAAUGGUAUCACACUGAUAGUGCUUCAAGUCUUACGGGAAUGAAUGGAUACAAGUAA
rnacentral:rRNA from 1 species